rnacentral:rRNA from 1 species
UACGUAGGGUGCAAGCGUUAUCCGGAAUUAUUGGGCGUAAAGCGUGCGCAGGCGGUUAUGCAAGUCAGAUGUGAAAUCCCCGGGCUUAACCUGGGAACUGCAUUUGUGACUGCAUAGCUGGAGUGCGGCAGAGGGGGAUGGAAUUCCGCGUGUAGCAGUGAAAUGCGUAGAUAUGCGGAGGAACACCGAUGGCGAAGGCAAUCCCCUGGGCCUGCACUGACGCUCAUGCACGAAAGCGUGGGGAGCAAACAGG